GGCGUUUGCUAUCGCCAUAUACUUUUGCUAAAAUGAUAAGAGUUCAUUCCGACUUGGUCUUCGCGACGAAAGGCCUCUGAUAAGGGGCUGUACGGUAUGGUACCCCCUCGAUAGAGAAGAUUAGACGUGUGAACUACAGCCAACCGGCAGAUUAAAGAGUUCGCCAGACAGUCCGGUUGAACAAAAGUCCUGAAAGGUAAACAACUUUUCCUGGCGAGGAAUUUUGGUAUAUCAAUUAACACAUCUGGCCUAAUUUUUUCGCUAUAUGAAGAAUCGAGUAAAACCGACCUCCUAAUACCUUCUUUUGCGCAUUCUAGUAUCCCAUCCUGUUGGCUAAAUGGGCAUACACGUGUUGCUCUCUUAUUCGCAGAUUUUUCUUGUUUAUUCAAAACUACAGACUAUUUUUAAGCACCCAGCUUAUAUUUAACUUUAAUGAUGUUUGGCUCUAAGAUGAAGAAGUAAAUGAAAUGAAUAUUGCAAUCUAAAUAUGGAAAAUAUUUCAAAUUUCCGGUGUACAAGGCACGUACCAAAUACUGAGAGACUUACUAGGUAUAGUGUAUAAUGAAAUAGCUAAUUUUUUUGCAGAUAAUCGUUAUGUGUUUCAAAUGUAUUACUUUCAUAUCAUAGCAAGUUUAAAAUUGGAAUUUCUUUAAUCAUAUGUUUAUUUAUGUAGAAAUUUCACUUGUUUCGCUGAUUUCUAAAUGCAUUUUCACCACUUGCAUCAACGGAUUGCAUGCACAGUGACUGGGCAAUAAAUUAAGCUAUUUAAUGUAAAUACAAGGAGAGUAAGCAAAGACGAAAAUAAAUUGAAAUACGUUUUGAAUUAAAUGAGAGGGAGGAUGAGGGUGUGAGUAAGAGAGAACAGGCUGAGAGCGAGAGAGCGAGCGAAUUAUAACGGAGCGCAGGAAACAACAACACACAUAUACACACACACACCGAUAAGGCAGAGUAAUUACAGCAACAAAGUGUUGUAAGUAAACAGCAAGGUGAAUAGGCGCGAAUGAGAUAGUAUAUGCACGUGUUGACACUGAAAGCUCCCAACUUGGCACACUGACACACAUAUGAGCCUACUUAGCAGCUAUGUUUGUAUGUAUGUACACACGUACAUCCAAUCUCUCCAAAUGCAACAAUUUGAUGCACAAUUACCCACCUGUCCAUUUAAUACCGCUUCCACAGGUGCAAUGGUUCAUUAAUUUUAUGCUUAUCAGUUUCCGUUCAAUUUCUUGCAAUACCCUCGAUUUGUUUUCGGGUUUUAUCAGCUUUUUUCAUUCCGUUGCGCCAUUCAGCGGAGCAACGAAAACACUAGCAUUUCGCACUCGUCUCACGCCUUGUAAUGAAAACAAUAACAAUAACACACGCGCCUUCUCGCUUUCACACUAUCGCUGUGUCUCUUUCGCACUGACUGAUGGAGCAGUGCGACCGUCUCCACCGACGGAUCCAAUGUAAA